AUUAUCAACUGACUGUAAAAUGACUUUUUUAGCAUACAUUGCUUUUAAAGAUUAUAGUCCAAUUGUUAUCACUGUAAAUUAGCACCUGACAUUCCAAAAUCUAGUAUGUUCAUACCAAGUUAGUCACCACAGACUAGAAAUCACUACUAGUCUUUUGGAACCAAUGGUCUCAUUAAUGUUCUGUUUCACUUGAGGGAUUCUUGUCCUUUCUCAUGUGCUCGGCAGAACCUGUGACAUUUCAGAAUUAAUUCUAAGAGGGUAUGGUGUGUGUCAGAAUGUCAGACACUGAUCAGAAGUUGUCAGUGCAAUUUUUUAUUUGAUUUGAACUCGACUUAGGAGUGUGAAGGUGUCAGAGUCUUACUUUCAACUUUCUCACUCUAAAAGAAGUCGUAGCCAUUCCCAUUCCUGAACAACCCCACAAGCAUCCUGCUCACUGCUCCAUACCUUCAUCCAGGGCUCUGCUUCUCAACUUUCUCAAGACCUGACUCCUUUUCAGGGUCCUGGGGAAGUGUCAGGGGCUUUCCGUCCAACCUGUGAGGGAGAAGCACAUGGAUUAACACAAGAGGGAGUGUGUGCUGGCGAGAUGCAUGUCUGCUGGUGUCUGCUAGAUGCACUUCAAGAACCCUGAACAUUUAAGUCACUCCAGGAGCCUACCCUCCAGAUGCACAUACAUUAGUCUCCCGCAAAUGCAUUUUUCUGAAGUGAC
rnacentral:lncRNA from 1 species